UGGAUCCAGACUUUGAUCCUGGCUCAGGAUGAACGCUAGCUACAGGCUUAACACAUGCAAGUCGAGGGGCAGCGUGCAGAUAGCUUGCUAUCUGUGACGGCGACCGGCGCACGGGUGAGUAACGCGUAUCCAACCUGCCAUUGUCUCGUGCAUAACCCGGUGAAAACCGGACUAAUUCACGAUACGUCCCGAGUAGACAUCUUAACGGGAUUAAAGAUUUAUCGGACAAUGAUGGGGAUGCGUCUGAUUAGCUUGUUGGUAGGGUAACGGCCUACCAAGGCAACGAUCAGUAGGGGUUCUGAGAGGAGGGUCCCCCACAUUGGAACUGAGACACGGUCCAAACUCCUACGGGAGGCAGCAGUGAGGAAUAUUGGUCAAUGGGCGCGAGCCUGAACCAGCCAAGUAGCGUGCAGGAUGACGGCCCUAUGGGUUGUAAACUGCUUUUAUGCGGGGAUAAAGUCGAUCACGUGUGAUUGUUUGCAGGUACCGCAUGAAUAAGGACCGGCUAAUUCCGUGCCAGCAGCCGCGGUAAUACGGAAGGUCCGGGCGUUAUCCGGAUUUAUUGGGUUUAAAGGGAGCGUAGGCCGCCGAUUAAGCGUGUUGUGAAAUGCCGCAGCUCAACUGUGGCACUGCAGCGCGAACUGGUUGGCUUGAGUGCGCGGAAGGCAGGCGGAAUUCGUGGUGUAGCGGUGAAAUGCUUAGAUAUCACGAAGAACCCCGAUUGCGAAGGCAGCUUGCCGCAGCGCAACUGACGCUGAAGCUCGAAGGUGCGGGUAUCGAACAGGAUUAGAUACCCUGGUAGUCCGCACGGUAAACGAUGGAUGCCCGCUGUGUGCCUUAAUGGUAUGCGGCCAAGCGAAAGCGUUAAGCAUCCCACCUGGGGAGUACGCCGGCAACGGUGCAACUCAAAUGAAUUGACGGA
rnacentral:rRNA from 1 species